AUUGAACGCUGGCGGCAUGCCUUACACAUGCAAGUCGAACGGCAGCACGGGAGCAAUCCUGGUGGCGAGUGGCGAACGGGUGAGUAAUAUAUCGGAACGUGCCCAGUCGUGGGGGAUAACGCAGCGAAAGCUGUGCUAAUACCGCAUACGAUCUAAGGAUGAAAGCGGGGGAUCGCAAGACCUCGCGCGAGUGGAGCGGCCGAUAUCAGAUUAGCUAGUUGGUGGGGUAAAGGCCCACCAAGGCGACGAUCUGUAGCUGGUCUGAGAGGACGACCAGCCACACUGGAACUGAGACACGGUCCAGACUCCUACGGGAGGCAGCAGUGGGGAAUUUUGGACAAUGGGCGCAAGCCUGAUCCAGCAAUGCCGCGUGCAGGAUGAAGGCCUUCGGGUUGUAAACUGCCUUUGUACGGAACGAAACGGCCCUUUCUAAUACAGGGGGCUAAUGACGGUACCGUAAGAAUAAGCACCGGCUAACUACGUGCCAGCAGCCGCGGUAA
rnacentral:rRNA from 1 species